rnacentral:rRNA from 1 species
GACGAACGCUGGCGGCGUGCUUAACACAUGCAAGUCGAGCGAGAAAGCGGCUUCGGCCGUGAGUACAGCGGCGAACGGGUGAGUAACACGUGGGCAACCUGCCCCAGAGAUUGGGAUAACGUCCCGAAAGGGACGCUAAUACCGAAUAACGCGUGACCUGCCAAGUGGGUCACGCCAAAUGGUAGCCUCGGCCUCUGCUCUGGGAUGGGCCCGCGCCGGAUUAGCUUGUUGGUGAGGUAACGGCUCACCAAGGCGACGAUCCGUAGCUGGUCUGAGAGGACGAUCAGCCACACUGGGACUGAGACACGGCCCAGACUCCUACGGGAGGCAGCAGUGGGGAAUCUUGCGCAAUGGGCGAAAGCCUGACGCAGCAACGCCGCGUGAGCGAAGACGGCCUUCGGGUUGUAAAGCUCUGUCAGGAGGGACGAAGCCACUCGGGUGAAUAGCCCAGAGGGUGACGGUACCUCCAGAGGAAGCCCCGGCUAACUACGUGCCAGCCGCCGCCGUAACAC